AUGAACCUCAUUGCGGGCUGCUUCUAUGAUGGAAUCCUGCUCUAUGCCCAAGUCCUGAAUGAGACAAUACAGGAAGGGGGCACCCGGGAAGAUGGACUUCGAAUUGUGGAGAAGAUGCAGGGACGAAGAUACCAUGGUGUAACUGGACUGGUUGUUAUGGACAAGAACAAUGACAGAGAGACUGAUUUCGUCCUGUGGGCCAUGGGAGACUUGGAGUCUGGCGACUUUCAGGUGACGGGGGAGAGGACAGGGAGGAGGGAUUGGCCCUAAGAUCCAGUGGGGACAGAAUCAUCGGCUCUGGGGGACAGGAGCUUGCUUCCUGGGCUGGGCCUUCCGGACGGUGGGGUGUCAGGGAGAAGGCUGGGGCAGGCCUGUGGGCCCAGCGCUCUGCUUCCUCACAGCCUGCAGCCCAUUACUCAGGAGCUGAGAAGCAGAUUUGGUGGACAGGCCGGCCAAUUCCCUGGGUGAAGGGGGCCCCACCUUUGGACAACCCCCCCUGUGCCUUUGACUUGGACGACCCAUCCUGUGAUAAAAGUGGGUGUGUGCAGGGACUGGGAGCAGUCCCCCCUCUUACCCCGCCCCCGCGCUCUGCCCCUUCCUCACUGACACCCAUUCCCACUCCUGGCUGUGUAUUAUCUGUGUCUGCCGCUCUCUUCUCUGUCCCUCAGGAAAGCUCUGUACCUCCUGCACCUGUCUCUUUGCCCUUGGGCCCCCUCCAGUCUUUCUCAGGGUCUCUCUGUCUCUCUCUCCUUCUCCCUCAG
rnacentral:lncRNA from 1 species